CUUACCGCAUUCCGGCGGAGAGGGGUCAGUCUGGCGAGAGGUUUGGUGCGGUGUGCACGUGAAGUGAACAUACUGGACAACCACAGUCAUCUACAAACUCGUUCAAAGUAAACCACACUCACACGUAAAAUGAGAAGGAACACAGAAGCACCGACGUGAAAACAGGCCCGUUUCAUUUUACGCGGCAAGUAGAACAGGAAGCCAAUAUUAAGGCCGCAGCAACGCCAACGGGGCCGAGGUUGCAGCGCGGCCUGCGAUGGACCAAGUGAAGCUGAACGAGAUGAUCGGAAACUUAAACUAAAGAAAUCGGAACUGCGUGUCAUCUGCAGAGCGAAAGUCAACGACGAAACGAAGCUCCUGCAGCGCCGGACUGCGACGCGCCCGGCACCUGAGCCGGCAAUGUACCUAACUAGUCCGACGGUGACCUCCAAGUGUAAAAUGGGCAUUAUGUGGAAUACAUUUCGCAGUCUACGAAUUUUGUUGAAGCCGAUAGCUGACUGUGAUUACGUCAUUGAAGUGGGGUGCUAAGUGCUCACGCAGAAUGGCUGGUUCAGCUACUGACUGAUAUCCGUGAGACAUACGUAUUGUAGGACACCCUGUAUAACAACAUGUAGGUUUCAUGUAGAGCACCUGUAGGGCAUUAUGUAGGAUUCCUGUAUGACGGCAUGUGGGACUUGCUAUAGCAUCCCUGUAUGAACGCAUGUAGGACAACCUAUAGGAUUCCUGUAGGACAUCCUAUAGGAUUCAUG